rnacentral:rRNA from 1 species
UUGACUCUGGGAUAAGCACUGGAAACGGUGUCUAAUACCGGAUACGACCUUCGGAGGCAUCUCCUGGGGGUGGAAAGAAUUUUGGUCAAGGAUGGACUCGCGGCCUAUCAGCUAGUUGGUGAGGUAAUGGCCCACCAAGGCGACGACGGGUAGCCGGCCUGAGAGGGUGACCGGCCACACUGGGACUGAGACACGGCCCAGACUC